GUCUUCCGGGUGUCCAGUAGGAGCGAGAAGGGCAGGGGUUUCCUGGAGCCAGCAGGAGGGGAAGGAAGAGGAAGGAGCGAAGUGGCAGAAAGGGGUUUGGGCACCUUCCUCUCCACAUGGACCGCAAGAUCUUCGGGGACUUAGCAGUGACUUUCUUGAAGAGAGAAACGCUGUUCACGAUUUAUACCUGAGCGUUUUAAUGCGUGCUGUGUGUGAUGAAGAGUGGGUACAGGGACUUCCCUGGUGGUCCAGCGGUAAAUAAUCCACCUUCCAAUGUGGGUUCGAUCCCUGGUCGGGGAAUUAAGAUCCCACAUGCCGCGGGGCAGCUAAGCCCGCGCGCCACAACUACAGAGCCCACGCGCCCUGGAGCCCAUGCACCACAACUAGAGAGAAGCCCGCACACCCCAACUAAGACCCAGCACAGCCAUAAAUAAAUAAGAGGACUUCGCGAGAAGGCAAAGAAAGCCCGGAAGAGGGCUCUUACCAGAACCCAGCCGUGCAGCACCAUGAUCUAGGGCUUCCAGCCUCCAGAGCUGUGAGAAAACACAUUUUGUUCUUUAAGGCGUUUGUUCUGUCACGGCAGCCUGAGCCGACUGAUGUAGUUGGCAAUUUGUCCAGCUUGGUUAUUGCUACGACUGUUGCUUAUAGACUACAGACGGAUCAGCUUUCUCUGAUGGGCUGUAAGCUUCUGGAGACUAUAUUAAUGUACUCAUUCUGGGCUCCCUCAGAGAACCCCCUGGAUUUGAGCCCAGGGUUGGAUCUUCAUAAAGGUUGGUUGAAUGACGGAUGGAUGGAUGGGCAGAUGGGCUGAAGGAAGGGCACAGAAGCUCAGAUAACUGACCACUAGAGGAGCCAAAGGACGUUUCCAUGGCCACAGGGGCAUAAGAAGUGGCAGCCCGGGCUAACCCAGUACAGCUUGGACCAGAGGCUAAUGUGCUGCCAGGUGCUGAGGGGCACCCCAGGAGGGCACCACUGCCACCUGUGUGAUCAAGUGCACGAGGGAGAGCCGACAUUUUCCGCAGACAUUCUUCAGAUAGAGAUGCCGCACUCAGCCCAUCGGGAGUUGUCUGCACUUCACUCGUCCAGAGGAACCAGCUUCCAUUUGCCCCAAAAGACUGCUCUUUUUCCAAGAAGGACCAGACAUAAUUGAGGGAAGGAAACACCUCCCAGAAGGGGGCCUCAUUUGGAGCCGGGGCCAGGGCACACCUGGGUGGGGGAACCCUCUUCAGAAACGUGUUGAUCUGAUUUUGAGCUCAGGCUUUGUUAGGCUGAGAAAUGGCCUUGGGUGUAUGUCCUAAAAGACUAUAAAACAAAGCGCCACCCUGCUGUCUCAACCUCCAGCUUCCUGUCCCUCCCUGCAAGGUUCAGCGUGGACCUUCUGUCGCCUCAGGCCUGCCGUCCCCAGUUCUAACCUGUGAGCCAAGGACGGUCUCUGCCUCUGUCCAGGGGCCCAGACUUCUCCCGUCUGCAAACUCAGAGAUCCCAUCGCUCGACCUCUGCUUCCAUCAUCACAUCCCCUUCUCUGACUCUCCUGCAUCCCUCUUUCCCUUAAAUGGACCCUUGUGAUCAUGUGGGGUCCACCCAGAUAAUCCAGGACAAUCUCCCUGUCUCAAGAUCCGUAAUUCAAUCACAUCUGCAGAGUCCCUUUUGCCACGAAAGGUGACAUAGUCACAGGUUCUGGGGAUUACGACUCGGACAUUUUUGGGGGGCCACUAUUCUGUGUGCCACACGCACUGACUUAUGAUUUUCUUGAUUUUUUCUGGCAUCGCCUUGCAGCUCAGGUGCAGGGAUGGAGAAGGUGGGAGGUGACACUGAAGGAGGGCUGGGGCUCUUCCAGGGGGAAAAACUAGAAGGAAGAGGCCGAGGGAACUGAGGGCAAGGGUGGGUUUAAAGGAUGAUUUGUCAGGUCUGGUUAGGAUUGGUUAGGUCAUGGUUAGGGUCGCCCUGCGACCUGGAAAUGUCACCGUGUUGGGAGAAAAUGGAGAGGUCAAGACCCUGAAGGGCUUGGUGAGGUUGCAAAGCCGGUAUAGUGGGGGGAUGGGCAAAGGAACUGGACGCAGUGGAAGCUGUGGUCAGAGGAGGAUGGGGGCCCCGAUGAUCCGGCGGGGGGGACAGUCAGGGGAGGUGGUGAGAUCCAGGCUGGGGAUGAAGGUGAGUGGACACGACAAGGUCAGGUGGUCCCUGGAGGUGCGCAGGCCGGAGAGCUGAGAGGCCAGGAGUCGGAGUGUUGGCCCCAUGGACGUUGAUGUGGCAGGACUUGGGCUGCAGAGGAGGCCUCGUGCCAGAGCGGAAGCCUCUGAUGGCGUGAAGGAGAAGCCGGGAGGGUGUUCAGGAGGUGACAGAGGUGAGAAAGCGCUCGCGGGGUCUGCCCAGGCCCUCUGAGAAGGCUCUUCCCCAGGAGGGUGGAGGAGCGAUGGUCUGGAGCUGUCAGCAUCCCCCCACUCUCCUCUCCUGCAGUUAGAAGUCCAAGGACAUGAGUUCAGACCUCCUCUGAUCGCAGGCUUCUGUUCCUGUGGUUGCAUCGGCAGUUUUGUUGGGAGCUGCAAGUUUAAAAGUGUCUGAAUCAAGUGUAUCUGCCCCCCAGCUUCCUCUGGAUCCUAAGGUCCCUCAGAUCUCCCUUCUCCCUUUCCAGCCCCACACCUCUUGGGACUGAGGAUGGGGCUGGGCAGCCUGCGUGUUACACUGGGACCCUGGCAGGGAAGCCCAGCAGGAGGGCAGGGGAAAGGAGAGUCCUUGGGGGAGAAGAAGGUUUCAUCUGUCCCGGGAGGACAGUUCCAGAGGACACAGUGGAGACGGAAGGUGGAAGGGAGGGUCGGCGGGUGGAGAAGCCUGCAGAGACUAGGGGGCCAGAGUGCAUCUUCCCAAAUGGCUGCAGCUGCCUUCCUGCUCUCGCACGUUCCUCCGGAACAUGCCGCUCCCCGUCAACAAGAAGAGUCCACUUCCUCUCCCCUUGACCUCAAGCAGGCUUUCGACUGGACGCUUCAAGUGCAGCAGGAGUGACGCUCUGUGACCUCUGAGACUCCCACCGUUCCCUCUUGCUCUGGGGACACCCGCCCUUGGACCUGGCCACCGUGCUGUGAGAAGCCUCGUGUGUAGACAUUCAGGCUGAAAACUGGAGCCAAGGUCUUUGUCAGCAGCCAGCAUCACCCGCCAGGCCUGUGAGCCGAGCGGCCUGACAUGAUUCCAGCCCCCACCAUCGGGCACCGAGUCUUCCAGCCAAGGCCCCAGGCACAGGAGCAGAGCUAAGCCAGGCUGACCCUGCCUCUGUCAAGCAGAGAUAAGAUUCUGUGACCGUAUUUAAUGGUUGUUUAAGAGCACAGAGUGUUGGUGUCAUUUGUUACAUAGCCUUACUAGCUAAUACACUCAGUGACUGGAAGGAAUGAGGUUUUGUAAUUGAAAGAAGCAGCCUCAGCUUUCCAAGAGGCAUUCAGUGUGAAGACAGCCUCCUGGCAGGGAGUGGAGGGGGAAGGCCACGAUCGCCACAGCCCAGACCCCCCGUGCGUACGCAGACAAGAUCCUGACUGUGUUUGGUGGUAGAUGAGGAGGCUGGUCUUCUCACCAGCCGCUGGGAUAAAGCUGGGCCAGAAGUUCAUCAUGUGACGUCACCAGAUCAUUUUGUUUUGUUUUGGCUAUGCGACUUGCAGGAUCUUAGUUCCCCCACCAGGGGUUGAACCCUGGCCCUCGGCAGUAAAAGCACGGAGUCCUAACCACUGGACUGGCAGGGAAUUCCCAGAGAAGUCACCAGACCUUAACCAAAGGCAGCCUGAAUAUCCCCAAACUUUGGUCUCAUCCAGACACUGUUUAAGAUCUAGAGACCCGAAUCCGGCAAUAGUUAUAUAAAUGGUGGGAUCUCUGUGUCAUGCAGUCAUUAAAGAUUAUGUUUUCGAAGAAUAAUCUAAAUUAAAGACAUGGGAAGAUUCUCAUAAUGAAUAACAGUGAACAGGGGCAGGGUAUUGACCCCACGUACAUUUGGGUGCAGUGAGACCUUAACUGUGCUUACAUCUUAGGUGGUGGGAUUUUGGCUGGUAGUGUCUUCUUCUUUAACUUUUCUGUAUUUUGCAGAUUCUUUUUAAAGGUAAAAUGUAAUACUCUUAGAAUGAGAAAAACCUAAGUAUUAUUUGUUUUAAAAAGCACCUAGUUAUUUGCAAUUUAAUUUGUGGACUCUGGAGAUCUCACAGGGGUUAACGUAUCUCCGAGAACCCUUAUCAAGGGACAAAGGUCAGGACAUAGGUCCCUCCCAGCCCCCUUUCCUGAAGUUGUGAGCACGAGGGGGUGGGUUUUUCACCCUCUUUGAUCACAGACUUCUGUUCCUGAGGUUGCACCGGCAGUUUUAUUGGAAGCUGCAAGUUUAAAAAUAUCUGUAUCAGGUGUGUCUGCCCCGUCUCCCGCUCUGGACUCUAAGGUCCCCUCGGUGCCUCCCCUCCCCCGCCCAACUCGAGGGCUGGGCGGCCAGGGGUGCUAUA